rnacentral:rRNA from 1 species
GAUGAACGCUGGCGGCGUGCUUAACACAUGCAAGUCGAACGAAGCACUUUAACCUGAUUCUUCGGAUGAAGGUUUUUGUGACUGAGUGGCGGACGGGUGAGUAACGCGUGGGUAACCUGCCUCAUACAGGGGGAUAACAGUUAGAAAUGACUGCUAAUACCGCAUAAGAGCACAGAGCCGCAUGGCUCGGUGGGAAAAACUCCGGUGGUAUGAGAUGGACCCGUGUCUGAUUAGGUAGUUGGUGGGGUAACGGCCUACCAAGCCAACGAUCAGUAGCCGACCUGAGAGGGUGACCGGCCACAUUGGGACUGAGACACGGCCCAAACUCCUACGGGAGGCAGCAGUGGGGAAUAGUGCACAAUGGGGGAAACCCUGAUGCAGCGACGCCGCGUGAGCGAAGAAGUAUUUCAGUAUGUAAAGCUCUAUCAGCAGGGAAGAAAAUGACGGUACCUGACUAAGAAGCACCGGCUAAAUACGUG